rnacentral:rRNA from 1 species
CCUACGGGGGGCAGCAGUGGGGAAUAUUGGACAAUGGGGGGAACCCUGAUCCAGCCAUGCCGCGUGUGUGAAGAAGGCCCUCGGGUUGUAAAGCACUUUCAGUGAGGAAGAACGCCUGGUGGUUAAUACCCAUCAGGAAAGACAUCACUCACAGAAGAAGCACCGGCUAACUCCGUGCCAGCAGCCGCGGUAAUACGGAGGGUGCGAGCGUUAAUCGGAAUUACUGGGCGUAAAGCGCGCGUAGGUGGCUUGAUAAGCCGGUUGUGAAAGCCCCGGGCUCAACCUGGGAACGGCAUCCGGAACUGUCAAGCUAGAGUGCAGGAGAGGAAGGUAGAAUUCCAGGUGUAGCGGUGAAAUGCGUAGAGAUCGGGAGGAAUACCAGUGGCGAAGGCGGCCUUCUGGACUGACACUGACACUGAGGUGCGAAAGCGUGGGUAGCAAACAGGAUUAGAUACCCUAGUAGUC